rnacentral:rRNA from 1 species
GUGGGGAGCAAACAGGAUUAGAUACCCUGGUAGUCCACGCCGUAAACGAUGUCGACUUGGAGGUUGUGCCCUUGAGGCGUGGCUUCCGGAGCUAACGCGUUAAGUCGACCGCCUGGGGAGUACGGCCGCAAGGUUAAAACUCAAAUGAAUUGACGGGGGCCCGCACAAGCGGUGGAGCAUGUGGUUUAAUUCGAUGCAACGCGAAGAACCUUACCUGGUCUUGACAUCCACGGAACUUUCCAGAGAUGAGAAUGUGCCUUCGGGAACCGUGAGACAGGUGCUGCAUGGCUGUCGUCAGCUCGUGUUGUGAAAUGUUGGGUUAAGUCCCGCAACGAGCGCAACCCUUAUCCUUUGUUGCCAGCGGUCCGGCCGGGAACUCAAAGGAGACUGCCAGUGAUAAACUGGAGGAAGGUGGGGAUGACGUCAAGUCAUCAUGGCCCUUACGACCAGGGCUACACACGUGCUACAAUGGCGCAUACAAAGAGAAGCGACCUCGCGAGAGCAAGCGGACCUCAUAAAGUGCGUCGUAGUCCGGAUUGGAGUCUGCAACUCGACUCCAUGAAGUCGGAAUCGCUAGUAAUCGUGGAUCAGAAUGCCACGGUGAAUACGUUCCCGGGCCUUGUACACACCGCCCGUCACACCAUGGGAGUGGGUUGCAAAAGAAGUAGGUAGCUUAACCUUCG